ensembl:lncRNA
GAUCAAACCACUAGGUCUCUCUUGGCAUUUGAGGAGGCAGUUCUUGGAGCUCCUCACGAAGAUUCACCCAGCUCCCUUCCGUGACGCUGCCCGGUGGCGGGCCCCAUCCUGGACAGCGGGCCCUGGCUCAUCUUGCUCUUCACUUCUUGUGACAUGAGUCACCCAGGUGAUUCCAGAGAAAAUUUUAAGUGAGAGCAUAACUGCAAAAUAGAUGACAAGUGAAUAACUGGAUCCAGUAAAAUGGUGAGACCCAGAUUCUGAAGGACCUCUUCCAGGUUUCAGGUGAUUCAAGCCCAAGCGCAGCUGGGCCGGUGAAUCCCGCACGGGGCUCCUGCACCUACGUUCCAUAUCCUGUUCUGUUCCUACUUGUCUCCUGGACACCUUCACCUAAUGCUCCGCAAGCACCACGAGUCCUCUUUGACAGAAGAUGCGGGUUUGAUCCCUGGGUCAGAAUUCCCUGGAGCAGGAAAUGAAAAUCCUACGGGUGGAUUUUCAGUCCAUGAUGGGCGACAGUCCACAGGGUCUCAAGCAGUCCGGCACGACUGACGACUGAGCACAGCAAUGCUAUGUUACACCCCUGACCCUCCCCUUCCCCGGGAAGCUCUCUUUCAGUUAAUCACAUCACAAUGAGUACAGAUACCUGAGUUACACUAGUAACUGGCACCUGCAUCUCCACUCCUUUCCUGGCCCCUUGCCCCCAGUCCACCUGGUUCUCACAUCCUGUGAUGCCCGCCCUCAUCAGCUCUGGGCAGCAUCCCGUCACUGCUGCACUGCCCAGGCUCAGGCCCUCCUGGCUGUGCCCUGGUCCCCAGAGCCGAAUCCUAGGGGCCCCUGGGUCCUCUCCCCCUGCACCCAGUCCAUCCUGAGGGCCGGUGCUGGAGUCAGAAAGGAAACGGGAGGGAAGGAGGGGAGGAUAUGGAUGAAUGAAGGAAUCAC